UUGAACUAAAUCUUUACCUGGAGAAGCCAGUGCAUUUUUUCCAAUUACCUAACUGACAAAAUGGUGUGAUCAGAGCUACAGAUCAAAACACACUCAGAAAUGUUUGACAAACAACAAUGAUAAUUGAAAAUCAACUGUCUCAAGGUACAUCAUUGCUGGUAUAAAUUGACAUAUACUAUGUAGCCAUUAAAAUACAUGUCUUUAAACUAAUGUUUAAUGCCAUGGGGAGAAGACACACCGUUAAAUAAUGUUAGCAUGUUUUUGGCUAGAGAGUCUAGCAGUCAAAGAGUAAUUGUGAAAUAACUCAGCCACUUCAUCUGCACUCUGAAGGGGAUGUAUGGAUCACAAAAUUAUUUUAAAGGCACUUUUUGCUUCCUGUCAACUCUUCUUACAGAGUGGCUCUUCUGGUGCACUUUGGAACUGCCUGUGUAAACAUUUCUCUUGUGCAUUCUCCUCUGCCCUAAGCUGGAGGGAAAGUCUAGCCUGGAAAGAGGCAAGAAUGAGCAGAAGUCAGAGGCAUUAAAUCAUCUGUCAGAAAUGCCACCUAAUAACCAACACCCAGCACCUAGUACUAAGCUCCCAGCAUCCAGUACUCAACACCCAGCACCAAGUACUCAGCACCCAGUACUCAACAUCCACCGCAGUUCUUUUGUUGAUCUUUUGUCAGAUCCCCUGGAAAUGGAUUUCCACCACAUCACAGUCCUACUGUUGGGACAGUAUUUGUCUCUCAUCUGAGGCCGGUGAUCUGGGCUUGGGCUAGUCCAACCUCUUGAGAAGCAGUAAAUCGCAAAGUAAUUGUUACUUGGCAGAUGUAUUAAACAUGGGUGGGCCUAAGACAUGAUCAGCAGGAAUAACAUUGGAUUGUUUGACUGAGGACAAACUGGACACAGAAGCAAAUAAAGGAAAUGCAGGGGCAAGAACAACACAGGAUGUUUGCCACCACCAUGGAAAGACACAAGAGCCCCAGUAAGGGCGCAGCUCUGAGAGAGUGAGAGAGUGAAACCGUGGGUUCACAAUGCAAGACUGAGCCAACUCCAUCAGCAUUUUAAUGGAAAGUUACUUUAGCUUACCUUGGGUCUCAUGUAUUCAGCUUCCAGAGAUGGUGUGCUCUCUGCAGCCCUCUGCAGUGCCCUCUUGAUGUAGCUCGAGGGGAAAGCAUGCGAUUAGCAUACACUUAAAAAAAAUCUAUCAUCUUUCUUCUGGAUCCUGAACAUAACUCAUUCUGAAACUUCACUUCUACUCCCUGGGGAGUAGCAAGAGGCAGAGCGUGUGGAUCAGAAAAGAAAAUGGACAGAUAUGCAUGAAGUGCGGAUGAGAUAAUGCCUGGUUAUGUGUUGCCAAGGCUUCUCUUACCCUUGAUUUCUGCAUCUUCCCAGACCCCCUGAGAGGUCAGGAGUAGGCUCUUCCCUGAAACCACAGGGGGGAAGGAAAUAACAUCAGAACAGCAACCUAUUGACUAGUCUGCUGUCACUCCCAAGCUGCUGCUCCUGCAUCUUAUUCUGCCUUACCUGCUGCUUCAGAAGUGCUGUGCCUGUACCGACUGUAGCCAUGUGCUGUGCUGGGUGAGCUGGGUGACAGUGAUGGAGGAGAAAGGAGCCCAACUCUAACUGCACUGGAGACACAGCAGCACAUUCCUGGGGCUCUUAGCGGGGAGCUUAGGGGUCCUGCUUCUUCAGUCCCACAUAUGGAUGCAAGAGCUAAAAGAGGCCAACAGCCUGGGCUCCAUCACCCAGUGCUCCCUCAGUUGCCACGCUAGCUGUCACAUCCUCUUGAUGUGACACUUUUCUCAUCCAGCCACUUGCUGCCUAUUGUCCUAUUUGUCAACUCCUGGGGCCCAGUGUUUUCCCCAGAGUCAAGAGCUGUGUUGUGGAAGAGGAGGGGUCAGAAGGGUAAGUAGGGCGUGCAAACACAAAACAGAGAAAGCCAGAAUGUGUGAUCUCGUCAUUGAGGGACUUUCCGGGCCCUUUAACAUCUAGGUUGAAGUUGCAAAUUCUCAUGAGAAAAGUAGUAGCAGUGGUCUUUCAACUUAUUUCACAAAAGAAUGUGUCUCUGCACUCACCUAAACGAUGGCUUUAGAAGCAUGUGUGUGCACAAGUGUGAGUG